rnacentral:lncRNA from 1 species
UACCCAGAAGAGUGGCUCAAGUUCACAUUCAGAAUUUAUUUGUUGAAAGAGUAUCUCCACUUUAUCACAAUCGAGCACUUCCAAUUCUUUCAGAAGUGGCCAGCUUGAACUAAACCUUCUAGAGCAAAAUCUUUUGAGUUGGUGUAAACCGGAGAGUGUGAGAGAGGUAAGGUUAGGGAAUGAGAGUAAAGGUGCUGCUUCAUCUUCAUUUUCAUUGGCAACAAUUGCCUCCACUCCACUCUCCGAUAUAUAAAGGUCCUCAAGUUGCACAAGAGCACUCGCCACAGAAACCGGAAAAAGGUUUAGCAAUUUGUUGCAUCCCCUUACUUGCAAUUUCCUUAAUUUGGAAAAUGAAUUUGCUGGAAGUUGGUCAGGCCACAAUGCUCUUAUAUUAUCUAGUCCGCGUACAGACAAGGACUCCAAACCUGGGAGUGCAACCUGUGCAAUUGAUGAUCCCUUUAGUUAAUAAUAUAUACAUAUACAUUCCUAAUAAUUAGACACAUGUAAAUAGAAAAUAAGAGGUUAAAGGAGAAUAUAUCAGUAUAACAAAGCACAAAAUUUAAACUCUAUUCAAGAAGAUCCAGAAAGAGAAAAGAAAACGCCUUUUGAUUUUGAAGAUCCAAUGAAACUUUAAAAAAAAAAAAAAAAACCUCCAAAUUUUGCUUUCCAAAUGAGGUAAUAGGAGGAUAUUUUUAUUUUAUUUUUUCUUUGCCUCUCUUUCAAAUUUGAUUAACUUCCAUGGAAAACGUAUUUUAACUAGCCAUGGAAAAUGGAUUUUUUUUUUAAAACUUUUAUAUAAGAUACAAGAACUCUUAGAGGGUUACAUUAUGUAAGUAAUACUUUAAAAAAAAUGUUUAAAAAUAUUGUGAUAUCCAAAAAUUUUACUACCUCGGAUUUUAAAUUUUAAAAAAAUUAUUUUUAAAGAAAUAAGGUAAAUCUAUACUUUUUCGUAUAAGAUAUUCUACCUUUAUAUACAAAUUUCUGAUUUUUUUUUUAAAGUGUAUCCAAAUGGACACUAAACUAUCUAGUUUCGAAUUUUUACAACUUUGAAUUGGAUUUUAUGGUAAACUAAUUGACAAUAUAACGCAUGGAUUCAUCUUAGAUUCCAUCUAUAAAUUUUUUAAUUAUCUAAUAUAAGACAUUAUAUUAAUGGGUUGAAUUAAUAAUGUAAUUAUAAUUUAUUUGGCAACUUUCUUCCUUCAAAUAUAUAAGACGAAAAUAUAUUUUAAAAAAUAAAAAAGAAUGAUAAAAAAUAGAAAAUAAAAAUAGCUUAUUUUAUUGUUUUUCUAAGAUGAUUUUGUAGAGUGUUAGUUUAUAGUUUAACUUUAUUUCAUUUUACUUUUAACAUUAUUUAUUGAGGUAUGUUCUUUUUUGAAACUCUUGUUUAGAUUUUAUAGAGAAUAUAAAUUUUAAGAAAAAAAAUGAAAUUUAAAUAAAAUAAGAAUAAAGAAAGGCAAAAGGUGGAUGAAUUUUUUGAAGGCAAAAGUUUGAUAAUUUGGCACUGUCAUGUAAUGGGUGAAAUUUUUAAAUACUCAACAAAGGCUAGUGAAAUUUAAAUUAAAACCUUGACAUGUACCUUUUCGACCAAAAUCUUUGGAGUUGGUGUAAAGUUUUGAGUAUGAGAGAGGUUAGUCUAGGGAAUAUUAUUGCACAUUAGUUCAAAUAAAACAUCAACAUUUUUUUUUGUUAAAUUCUAAAUGAACACCACUAUAAAUUAAUGCGAUUUUGUAUGCUCAAUUAAAUAAACUCGUUCUUAAGGCAUCACAUGAAGUGUUUAAGUCUAAUUAAUAUUAAUUAAAAAUGAUUAUAUCAAAAAAAAUCCAAAGUAAUUUUUUUUUAUCAUAAGUCAAGUAGGAUAGUUUUAUAAAUAAUUGGUUCUAGUUUCUAGUAUUAUUGUACACAAUCGCUAUGUUUGUUGCACCUCCAAAAAAUCUACUACUUGUAAUUAAUUGUAUAUUAUUCUCCAUAUUCACAUCAGUUUAUGUAGUAUGAUUAAUUUAGCAACAAAAUAUAAGUUUACUUGAAAUCGCUUUAAAUUCCUAUGAUAUUAAAGUUUAAGAUUAAAACAAUGUAACAUUAGCCAAAAAGACUAAGAUCUAUAAUGUAACAAAUAAAAUUUAGAAAAUUCAAGGCAGGGUAAACUCGCACCUGUUCUACCCAGAAGAGUGGCUCAAGUUCACAUUCAGAAUUUAUUUGUUGAAAGAGUAUCUCCACUUUAUCACAAUCGAGCACUUCCAAUUCUUUCAGAAGUAGCCAGCUUGAACUAAACCUUCUAGAGCAAAAUCUUUUGAGUUGGUGUAAACCGGAGAGUGUGAGAGAGGUAAGGUUAGGGAAUAAGAGUAAAGGUGCUGCUUCAUCUUCAUUUUCAUUGGCAACAAUUGCCUCCACUCCACUCUCCGAUAUAUAUAGGUCCUCAAGUUGCACAAGAGCACUCGCCACAGAAACCCGAAAAAGGUUUAGCAAUUUGUUGAAUCCCCUUACAUGCAAUUUCCUUAAUUUGGAAAAUGAAUUUGUUGGAAGUUGGUCAGGCCACAAUGCUCUUAUAUUAUCCAGUCCGCAUACAUACAAGGACUCCAAGCCUUGGAGUGCAACCUGUGCAAUUGAUAAUCCCUUUGGUUAAUAAUAUAUACAUAUACAUUCCUAAUGAUUAGACACAUGUAAAUAGAAAAUAAGAGGUUAAAGGAGAAUAUAUCAGUAUAACAAAGCACAAAAUUUAAACUAGAUUAAAGAAGAUCAAGAAAGAGAAAAGAAAAGAAAAAGCCUCCAGAUUUUGAAGAUACAAUGAAACUUAAAAAAAAAAAAAAAAAACCUCCAAAUUUUCCUUUCGAAAUGAGGUAAUAAGAGGAUUUUUUUUUUCUUUUUUCUUUGCCUCUCUUUCAAAUUUGAUUAACUUCUAUGGAAAACGUAUUUUAACUAGUUAUGGAAAACGGAUUUUUUUUUUUAAAAACUUUUAUAUAAGAUACAAGUAAUACUUUAAAAAAAUUGUGAUAUCUAAAAAAUUUUUUGAAAAAUUAUUUUUAAAGAAAUAAGGUAAAUCUAUACUUUUUGUAUAAGAUGUUCUACCUUUGUAUUCAAAUUUCUGAUUUUUUUUUUUUAAAGUGUAUCCAAAUGCACACUAAACUAUCUAGUUUUUAAUUGUUACAACUUUGAAUUGGAUUUUAUGGUAAACUAAUUUACAAGUUAAUGCAUAGAUUCAUCUUAGAUUCCAUCUAUAAAUUUUUUUAAUUAUCUAAUAUAAGACAGUAUAUUAAUGGGUUGAAUUAAUAAUGUAAUUAUAAUUUAUUUGGCAACUUUCUUCCUUCAAAUAUAUAAAAUGAAAAUAAAUUUUAAAAAAUAAAAAAUAAAAAAAAGAUUUUUUUUAUAGUUUUUCUAAGAUGAUUUUGUAGAGUUCUGUUAGUUUAUAGUUUUCACUUUAUUUAUUGAGGUAUGUUCUUUUUUGAAACUCUUGUUUAGAUUUUAUUGAGAAUAUAAAUUUUAAGAAAAAAAAUAAAAUUUAAAUAAAAUAAGAAUAAAGAAAGGCAAAAGCUGGAUGAAUUUUUUUAAGGCAAAAGUUUGAUAAUUUGGCACUCUCAUGUAAUGGGUGAAAUUUUUAAAUACUCAACAAAGGCUAGUGAAAUUUAAAUUAAAACCAUGACAUGUACCUUUUAGACCAAAAUCUUUGGAGUUGGUGUAAUGUUUUGAGUAUGAGAGAGGUUAGUCUAGGGAAUAUUAUUGCACAUUAGUUCAAAUAAAACAUCAACAUUUUUUUUUGUUAAAUUCUAAAUGAACACCACUAUAAAUUAAUGCGAUUUUGUAUGCUCAAUUAAAUAAACUCGUUCUUAAGGCAUCACAUGAAGUGUUUAAGUCUAAUUAAUAUUAAUUAAAAAUGAUUAUAGUAAAAAAAAUCCAAAGUAAUUUUUUUUUAUCAUAAGUCAAGUAGGAUAGUUUUAUAAAUAAUUGGUUCUAGUUUCUAGUAUUAUUGUAGACAAUCGCUAUGUUUGUUGCACCUCCAAAAAAUCUACUACUUGUAAUUAAUUGUAUAUUAUUCUCCAUAUUCACAUCAGUUUAUGUAGUAUGAUUAAUUUAGCAACAAAAUAUAAGUUUACUUGAAAUGGCUUUAAAUUCCUAUGAUAUUAAAGUUUAAGAUUAAAACAAUGUAACAUUAGCAAAAAAGAUUAAGAUCUAUAAUGUAACAAAUAAAAUUUAGAAAAUUCAAGGCAGGGUAAACUCGCACCUGUUCUACCCAGAAGAGUGGCUCAAGUUCACAUUCAGAAUUUAUUUGUUGAAAGAGUAUCUCCACUUUAUCACAAUCGAGCACUUCCAAUUCUUUCAGAAGUAGCCAGCUUGAACUAAACCUUCUAGAGCAAAAUCUUUUGAGUUGGUGUAAACCGGAGAGUGUGAGAGAGGUAAGGUUAGGGAAUAAGAGUAAAGGUGCUGCUUCAUCUUCAUUUUCAUUGGCAACAAUUGCCUCCACUCCACUCUCUGAUAUAUAUAGGUCCUCAAGUUGCACAAGAGCACUCGCCACAGAAACCCGAAAAAGGUUUAGCAAUUUGUUGAAUCCCCUUACAUGCAAUUUCCUUAAUUUGGAAAAUGAAUUUGUUGGAAGUUGGUCAGGCCACAAUGCUCUUAUAUUAUCCAGUCCGCAUACAUACAAGGACUCCAAGCCUGGGAGUGCAACCUGUGCAAUUGAUAAUCCCUUUGGUUAAUAAUAUAUACAUAUACAUUCCUAAUAAUUAGACACAUGUAAAUAGAAAAUAAGAGGUUAAAGGAGAAUAUAUCAGUAUAACAAAGCACAAAAUUUAAACUAGAUUAAAGAAGAUCAAGAAAGAGAAAAGAAAAGAAAAAGCCUCCAGAUUUUGAAGAUACAAUGAAACUUAAAAAAAAAAAAAAAAAACCUCCAAAUUUUCCUUUCGAAAUGAGGUAAUAAGAGGAUUUUUUUUUUAUUUUUUCUUUGCCUCUCUUUCAAAUUUGAUUAACUUCUAUGGAAAACGCAUUUUAACUAGUUAUGGAAAACGGAUUUUUUUUUUUUAAAACUUUUAUAUAAGAUACAAGUAAUACUUUAAAAAAAUUGUGAUAUCUAAAAAAUUUUUUGAAAAAUUAUUUUUAAAGAAAUAAGGUAAAUCUAUACUUUUUGUAUAAGAUGUUCUACCUUUGUAUUCAAAUUUCUGAUUUUUUUUUUUAAAGUGUAUCCAAAUGCACAAUAAACUACCUAGUUUUUAAUUGUUACAACUUUGAAUUGGAUUUUAUGGUAAACUAAUUUACAAGUUAAUGCAUGGAUUCAUCUUAGAUUCCAUCUAUAAAUUUUUUUAAUUAUCUAAUAUAAGACAUUAUAUUAAUGGGUUGAAUUAAUAAUGUAAUUAUAAUUUAUUUGGCAACUUUCUUCCUUCAAAUAUAUAAAAUGAAAAUAAAUUUUAAAAAAUAAAAAAAAUGAAAAAAUAAAAAAUAAAAAAAAGAUUUUUUUUAUAGUUUUUCUAAGAUGAUUUUGUAGAGUACUGUUAGUUUAUAGUUUUCACUUUAUUUAUUGAGGUAUGUUCUUUUUUGAAACUCUUGUUUAGAUUUUAUUGAGAAUAUAAAUUUUAAGAAAAAAAAUGAAAUUUAAAUAAAAUAAGAAUAAAGAAAGGCAAAAGGUGGAUGAAUUUUUUUACGGCAAAAGUUUGAUAAUUUGGCACUAUCAUGUAAUGGGUGAAAUUUUUAAAUACUCAACAAAGGCUAGUGAAAUUUAAAUUAAAACCUUGACAUGUACCUUUUAGACCAAAAUCUUUGGAGUUGGUGUAAAGUUUUGAGUAUGAGAGAGGUUAGUCUAGGGAAUAUUAUUGCACAUUAGUUCAAAUAAAACAUCAACAUUUUUUUUUGUUAAAUUCUAAAUGAACACCACUAUAAAUUAAUGCGAUUUUGUAUGCUCAAUUAAAUAAACUCGUUCUUAAGGCAUCACAUGAAGUAUUUAAGUCUAAUUAAUAUUAAUUAAAAAUGAUUAUAGUAAAAAAAAUCCAAAGUAAUUUUUUUUUAUCAUAAGUCAAGUAGGAUAGUUUUAUAAAUAAUUGGUUCUAGUUUCUAGUAUUAUUGUAGACAAUCGCUAUGUUUGUUGCACCUCCAAAAAAUCUACUACUUGUAAUUAAUUGUAUAUUAUUCUCCAUAUUCACAUCAGUUUAUGUAGUAUGAUUAAUUUAGCAACAAAAUAUAAGUUUACUUGAAAUGGCUUUAAAUUCCUAUGAUAUUAAAGUUUAAGAUUAAAACAAUGUAACAUUAGCCAAAAAGAUUAAGAUCUAUAAUGUAACAUAUAAAAUUUAGAAAAUUCAAGGAAGGGUAAACUCGCACCUGUUCUACCCAGAAGAGUGGCUCAAGUUCACAUUCAGAAUUUAUUUGUUGAAAGAGUAUCUCCACUUUAUCACAAUAGAGCACUUCCAAUUCUUUCAGAAGUGGCCAGCUUGAACUAAACCUUCUAGAGCAAAAUCUUUUGAGUUGGUGUAAACCGGAGAGUGUGAGAGAGGUAAGGUUAGGGAAUAAGAGUAAAGGUGCUGCCUCAUCUUCAUUUUCAUUGGCAACAAUUGCCUCCACUCCACUCUGAAAUAUAUUUAGGUUCUCAAGUUGCACAAGAGCACUCGCCACAGAAACCGGAAAAAGGUUUAGCAAUUUGUUGCAUCCCCUUACUUGCAAUUCCCUUAAUUUGGAAAAUGAAUUUGCUGGAAGUUGGUCAGGCCACAAUGCUCUUAUAUUAUCUAGUCCGCAUACAGAAAAGGACUCCAAGCCUGGGAGUGCAACCUGUGCAAUUGAUGAUCCCUUUAGUUAAUAAUAUAUACAUAUACAUUCCUAAUAAUUAGCACAUGUAAAUAGAAAAUAAGAGGUUAAAGGAGAAUAUAUCAGUAUAACAAAGCACAAAAUUUAAACUAGAUUCAAGAAGAUCAAGAAAGAGAAAAGAAAAGAAAAAGCCUCCAGAUUUUAAAGAUACAAUGAAACUUAAAAAAAAAAAAAAAAAACCUCCAAAUUUUCCUUUCGAAAUGAGGUAAUAAGAGGAUUUUUUUUUUUUUCUUUUUUCUUUGCCUCUCUUUCAAAUUUGAUUAACUUCUAUGGAAAACGUAUUUUAACUAGUUAUGGAAAACGGAUUUUUUUUUUAAACUUUUAUAUAAGAUACAAGUAAUACUUUUAAAAAAUUGUGAUAUCUAAAAAAGUUUUUGAAAAAUUAUUUUUAAAGAAAUAAGGUAAAUCUAUACUUUUUGUAUAAGAUCUUCUACCUUUAUAUACAAAUUUCUGAUUUUUUUUUUUAAAGUGUAUCCAAAUGGACACUAAACUAUCUAGUUUUUAAUUGUUACAACUUUGAAUUGGAUUUUAUGGUAAACUAAUUUACAAGUUAAUGCAUGGAUUCAUCUUAGAUUCCAUCUAUAAAUUUUUUUAAUUAUCUAAUAUAAGACAUUAUAUUAAUGGGUUGAAUUAAUAAUGUAAUUAUAAUUUAUUUGGCAACUUUCUUCCUUCAAAUAUAUAAAAUGAAAAUAAAUUUUAAAAAAUAAAAAAGAAUGAAAAAAAUAAAAAAUAAAAAAAGCUUUUUUUUAUAGUUUUUCUAAGAUGAUUUUGUAGAGUACUGUUAGUUUAUAGUUUUAACUUUAUUUCAUUUUACUUUUAACUUUAUUUAUUGAGGUAUGUUCUUUUUUGAAACUCUUGUUUAGAUUUUAUAGAGAAUAUAAAUUUUAAGAAAAAAAAAGGAAAUUUAAAUAAAAUAAGAAUAAAGAAAGGCAAAAGGUGGAUGAAUUUUUUUAAGGCAAAAGUUUGAUAAUUUGGCACUAUCAUGUAAUGGGUGAAAUUUUUAAAUACUCAACAAAGGCUAGUGAAAUUUAAAUUAAAAGCUUGACAUGUACCUUUUCGACCAAAAUCUUUGGAGUUGGUGUAAAGUUUUGAGUAUGAGAGAGGUUAGUCUAGGGAAUAUUAUUGCACAUUUGUUCAAAUAAAACAUCAACAUUUUUUUUUGUUAAAUUCUAAAUGAACACCACUAUAAAUUAAUGCGAUUUUGUAUGCUCAAUUAAAUAAACUCAUUCUUAAGGCAUCACAUGAAGUGUUUAAGUCUAAUUAAUAUUAAUUAAAAAUGAUUAUAUUAAAAAAAAUCCAAAGUAAUUUAUUUUUAUCAUAAGUCAAGUAGGAUAGUUUUAUAAAUAAUUGGUUCUAGUUUCUAGUAUUAUUGUACACAAUCGCUAUGUUUGUUGCACCUCCAAAAAUCUACUACUUGUAAUUAAUUGUAUAUUAUUCUCCAUAUUCACAUCAGUUUAUGUAGUAUGAUUAAUUUAGCAACAAAAUAUAAGUUUACUUGAAAUCGCUUUAAAUUCCUAUGAUAUUAAAGUUUAAGAUUAAAACAAUUUAACAUUAGCCAAAAAGAUUAAGAUCUAUAAUGUAACAUAUAAAAUUUAGAAAAUUCAAGGAAGGGUAAACUCGCACCUGUUCUACCCAGAAGAGUGGCUCAAGUUCACAUUCAGAAUUUAUUUGUUGAAAGAGUAUCUCCACUUUAUCACAAUCGAGCACUUCCAAUUCUUUCAGAAGUGGCCAACUUGAACUAAACUUUCUAGAGCAAAAUCUUUUGAGUUGGUGUAAACCGGAGAGUGUGAGAGAGGUAAGGUUAGGGAAUAAAAGUAAAAGUGCUGCUUCAUCUUCAUUUUCAUUGUGAACAAUUGCCUCCACUCCACUAUAAAAUAUAUUUAGGUUCUCAAGUUGCACAAGAGCACUCGCCACAGAAACCGGAAAAAGGUUUAGCAAUUUGUUGCAUCCCCUUACUUGCAAUUUCCUUAAUUUGGAAAAUGAAUUUGCUGGAAGUUGGUCAGGCCACAAUGCUCUUAUAUUAUCUAGUCCGCAUACAGACACGGACUCCAAGCCUGGGAGUGCAACCUGUGCAAUUGAUGAUCCCUUUAGUUAAUAAUAUAUACAUAUACAUUCCUAAUAAUUAGACACAUGUAAAUAGAAAAUAAGAGGUUAAAGGAGAAUAUAUCAGUAUAACAAAGCACAAAAUUUAAACUAGAUUGAAGAAGAUCAAGAAAGAGAAAAGAAAAGAAAAAGCCUCCAGAUUUUGAAGAUACAAUGAAACUUAAAAAAAAAAAAAAAAAACCUCCAAAUUUUCCUUUUGAAAUGAGGUAAUAAGAGGAUUUUUCUUUGCCUCUCUUUCAAAUUUGAUUAACUUCUAUGGAAAACGUAUUUUAACUAGUUAUGGAAAACGGAUUUUUUUUUUUUAAACUUUUAUAUAAGAUACAAGUAAUACUUUAAAAAAAUUGUGAUAUCUAAAAAAUUUUUUGAAAAAUUAUUUUUAAAGAAAUAAGGUAAAUCUAUACUUUUUGUAUAAGAUGUUCUACCUUUAUAUACAAAUUUCUGAUUUUUUUUUUUUAAAGUGUAUCCAAAUGGACACUAAACUAUCUAGUUUUUAAUUGUUACAACUUUGAAUUGGAUUUUAUGGUAAACUAAUUUACAAGUUAAUGCAUGGAUUCAUCUUAGAUUCCAUCUAUAAAUUUUUUUAAUUAUCUAAUAUAAGACAUUAUAUUAAUGGGUUGAAUUAAUAAUGUAAUUAUAAUUUAUUUGGCAACUUUCUUCCUUCAAAUAUAUAAAAUGAAAAUAAAUUUUAAAAAAUAAAAAAAUGAAAAAAAUAAAAAAUAAAAAAAGAUUUUUUUUUAUAGGUUUUCUAAGAUGAUUUUGUUGAGUACUGUUAGUUUAUUGUUUUAACUUUAUUUCAUUUUACUUUUAACUUUAUUUAUUGAGGUAUGUUCUUUUUUGAAACUCUUGUUUAGAUUUUAUAGAGAAUAUAAAUUUUAAGAAAACAAAUGAAAUUUAAAUAAAAUAAGAAUAAAGAAAGGCAAAAGGUGGAUGAAUUUUUUUAAGGCAAAAGUUUGAUAAUUUGGCACUAUCAUGUAAUGGGUGAAAUUUUUAAAUACUCAACAAAGGCUAGUGAAAUUUAAAUUAAAAGCUUGACAUGUACCUUUUCGACCAAAAUCUUUGGAGUUGGUGUAAAGUUUUGAGUAUGAGAGAGGUUAGUCUAGGGAAUAUUAUUGCACAUUAGUUCAAAUAAAACAUCAACAUCUUUUUUUGUUAAAUUCUAAAUGAACACCACUAUAAAUUAAUGCGAUUUUGUAUGCUCAAUUAAAUAAACUCGUUCUUAAGGCAUCACAUGAAGUGUUUAAGUCUAAUUAAUAUUAAUUAAAAAUGAUUAUAUUAAAAAAAAUCCAAAGUAAUUUUUUUUUAUCAUAAGUCAAGUAGGAUAGUUUUAUAAAUAAUUGGUUCUAGUUUCUAGUAUUAUUGUACACAAUCCCUAUGUUUGUUGCACCUCCAAAAAAUCUACUACUUGUAAUUAAUUGUAUAUUAUUCUCCAUAUUCACAUCAGUUUAUGUAGUAUGAUUAAUUUAGUAACAAAAUAUAAAUUUACUUGAAAUCGCUUUAAAUUCCUAUGAUAUUAAAGUUUAAGAUUAAAACAAUGUAACAUUAGCCAAAAAGAUUAAGAUCUAUAAUGUAACAUAUAAAAUUUAGAAAAUUCAAGGAAGGGUAAACUCGCACCUGUUCUACCCAGAAGAGUGGCUCAAGUUCACAUUCAUAAUUUAUUUGUUGAAAGAGUAUCUCCACUUUAUCACAAUAGAGCACUUCCAAUUCUUUCAAAAGUGGCCAGCUUGAACUAAACCUUCUAGAGCAAAAUCUUUUGAGUUGGUGUAAACCGGCGAGUUCGAGAGAGGUAAGGUUAGGGAAUAAGAGUAAAGGUGCUGCUUCAUCUUCAUUUUCAUUGUGAACAACUGCCUCCACUCCACUCUGCAAUAGAUUUAGGUCCUCAAGUUGCACAGGAGCACUCGCCACAGAAACCGGAAAAAGGUUUAGCAAUUUUUUGCAUCCCUUUACUUGCAAUUUCCUUAAUUUGGAAAAUGAAUUUGCUAGAAGUUGGUCAGGCCACAAUGCUCUUAUAUUAUCUAUGAUAACCACAACAUUCAAACCACCGAGAUUUCCUUGGCUUCUCACUUAUCUUUUCCACCAGAUAAGUGUUUAUCCACUUUAAGAGAUAACUCUUGACUAUUUUUAAAUUUCUGUUAUUGUGUAUUUCAAAUCUCCUUCUGUAAUUGUAUAUAAAUGAGAAUAGCCACCCGGUUUUUGGCAUUGAAGCCAAUACCAUUUUACAGAUUUCUACAGAGUCUUACAUGGUAUCAGAGCAAUUGGCAUACGCCUAAUUUCAAUCGAUCCUUUCCUUCUCAACUAUGGCCUUCUCUUCUUCCGCUUCCUCCAAUGUUAUCUUUGCUCCUCCAAACAUUGGUCAUCUGGUGUCGAUCAAGCUGAGUGACACAAACUAUCUUAUAUGGUCAUCUCAGAUUGUGCCAGUACUGAAAAGUCAUGACUUGAUGGGCUUCAUGGAUGGUUCUGAGCCGUGUCCAUCAAAAUCUCUUGAUGGUUCUCUUAAUCCAGCAUAUAUUCUCUGGAAUAAGAAAGAUCAGUGUGUGUUAAGUUGGAUCAAUGCCACUUUGUCUGACAAGGUGCUAGCUUCUGUUUAUGGCAUCACAUCUGCUCGAGAGGUGUGGAGUUCUCUGGCAAACAAGUUUGCCUCUCAAUCCAGAACCCGUGUACACCACCUAAAGCGAAAGUUGCAGACUCUUCAUCAAGGGUCAAUGAAGUGCACUGAUUUUCUUGAAAAAGCGAAGUUGGUGUCUGAUGAAUUAGCUGCAGUUGGUAAGCCACUUGAGGAUGAUGACUUAAUGUCUUAUAUUGUGAGUGGACUCAACCCAUCCUUUAAUCCCUUUAUAACCUCUCUGUCCUUUGCCACUAGAGACAAAAAUGUUUCUUUUGAAGACUUUCAAGCCGAGCUCUUGUCAUAUGAACUGUUAUUGGAAAACUAGAAUAUUGCUAUACCACCUGAGACAAAUAAUUUUGCUUUCUUCACUCCCAAAUCUAACCAACAACAGUACAAUCGCAAACCCAAAAACCCAAGUAAACCAUAUUCACGUCCUUCAUUUUCACAAAAUCCUCGUCCUCGAUAUUCACCACAACCCUCUGGUUUACCUUCCUCACCUCAGCCAAAUCAGAAGCAGCACUCAUUUUCCACUCCUAAGUCACCUUGUCAAAUCUGUGGAAAGCUAAGUCAUAAGGCAUUAGAUUGCUUUCAUAGAAUGGAUUAUGCAUAUCAGGGUCGUCAUCCACCAACCCAGUUAGCUGCUAUGGUGGCACAUAGCAAUGCUGAGCAAGAGGAAGAGACAUGGUUUGCUGACAGUGGAGCUAAUCAGCACAUUACUGCCAAUCUGGAGCAUCUUACUCUGCAACAACCAUACACAGGACAAGAAAAUGUAGCUAUUGGUAAUGGCCAAGGUUUAAGUAUUGCACAUACUGGUACUACUAUUUUUCAUACUCCUGAAGCUAAAUUAAACCUCAAACGUGUCCUCCAUUGUCCUCAAGCUUCUGCCAAUUUGCUUUCCAUAAAUCAAUUCUGUCUUGAUAAUAAUUGCCUCUUUAUUCUAACUGGUACUCAUUAUUUUGUCAAGGACAUACAAACGGGGGCGACACUACUGGAAGGCAGGAGUGAAGGGGGUCUCUAUCCAAUCCAGUUGCGGUCAAUGUCUAUCAAUAAAUCACAUGCUUUGUCAGCCGUUGUAGGAAUUAAAGCAUCAGUUUCAGUUUGGCAUUCUAGAUUAGGACAUGCAUCUCUUCCCAUUGUGUCUCAGUUAUUAAAUAAACACUCCUUACCUGUUGAAGGAUCAGUGAAUAAAAUGCAUUUUUGUGAACCUUGCCAACUUGGCAAAGGUAAGCAACUUCCUUUCAAACCUUCUACUCGUGUUUCUUCCUUUCCUUUGCAAUUAAUUCAUACUGAUGUAUGGUCUUGUUCUACCAAAUCUCUCAGUGGAUGUAAGUAUUAUGUUAUAUUCAUUGAUGAUUUUUCACGAUUCUCAUGGCUUUAUCCUCUCCAAAAUAAAUCUGAUGUAUAUGCUUGCUUUGUUAAAUUCAAAACACUAGUUGAAAACCAAUUUUCUUGCAAAAUUAAGCAAUUACAAUCGGAUGGAGGUGGAGAAUACAUGUCCAACCAAUUUCAAUUGUUUCUUUCCUCUAAUGGAAUCCAACAUCGCCGCACUUGUCCUCAUACACCCCAACAAAAUGGGGUUGCUGAGCGUAAACACCGUCAUGUGGUGGAAAUGGGACUGUCUCUGUUAGCUCAGUCACUUUUGCCCACUAAAUUCUGGGUUGAUGCCUUUUUAACAUCCAUUUUUCUCAUCAAUAGACUACCAACAUCUACUCUUGAUAACCAAACACCAUAUCUUAAAUUAUUUGGCAAACAUCCUGAUUAUACCUCCUUGCGCACCUUUGGUUGUGCCUGUUUUCCAUUGUUACGGACCAUAUGCAACUCACAAAUUAAUGUUCAGAUCCAAACGUUGCAUAUUUCUAGGUUAUAGUUCCCAUCAAAAUGGAUAUAGAUGCUUGGAUCCUGUCACUCAAAAAGUUCUAAUCUCACGACAUGUUGUGUUUAAUGAGAAUACAUUUCCUGCUAAGGAUGGAUUGCAGUCUUCUGAACUUCUUCCAGUGGUCUCCUCUCAAGGUACGCCUUUACCUUCUCCUUCAUUUUCUUUAUCUACUUCUCAUUUACAGCAUUCCUCUCCAAUCAUUUCAGAUUCACCUGAUUCUCCUCUAGAAUCUUUACCUAUCCCCACUUCUCCUCAUAUCUCCACUCUACCUUCUCCCAUACCUAGUCCAGCUCCUACCCUUUCUAUACCUGAAUUUUCCUCUUCUUCCAAUCACUCUCAUCACCCCAUGACAACUCGCUCCCAAACAGGCAACCUCAAACCUCGCACAUUUUCAGAUUUUAAACUCUAUUCCACCCACUAUCCUCUCCAAGCAUUAUCCAGUACUGUGACUCCCCUUGCACCAACCUCCUACCGACAAGCUGCUUUAUUACCUGACUGGUGUGUUGCUAUGAGAGAGGAAUAUGAUGCUUUAUUGGCUAAUGAGACAUGGAAGCUAUGUCCUAGACCUGUUGAUCAUAAUGUGGUGGGAAAUAAGUGGGUGUAUAAAGUUAAACAAACAUCCACAGGUGAGGUUGACAGAUUCAAAGCAAGAUUAGUGGCUUUGGGAUUUGCUCAAGAAGAAGGUAUUGACUUUACUGAGACUUUUAGUCCAGUAAUUAAGCCUUCUACUGUACGGGUGCUUCUUACACUUUCUGUUCAAUUUGAUUGGGAAAUCAGACAGCUUGAUGUAUCUAACGCUUUUCUUCAUGGGAUCUUGCUAGAGGAUGUAUAUAUGGAGCAACCUAAGGGGUUUGUUAAUUCAGAUUUUCCAGAUUAUGUUUGCAAACUGAACAAGUCACUUUAUGGCCUCAAACAAGCACCUCGUGCUUGGUUUAUGCGUCUAUCUCAAACUCUACUUGAAUUCGGUUUCCUAUCCUCACCAGUGGAUGCCUCCUUAUUUGUCUAUCAUAAGGGCCAUAUUCAUCUAUUUAUCCUCAUCUAUGUAGAUGAUAUCCUUGUUACAGGUACAGAUCCUUCUCUCAUUCAGUCUCUAAUCCAAAAGCUACAAACCGAGUUCAAGAUGAAAGACCUUGGUCCUUUGGGCUAUUUUCUCGGCAUCCAAGCAAGUCGUGACUCUUCUGGCCUACAUCUUCGACAAUCCAAGUACAUUGGGGAUCUUCUUCAUCGUACCAAGAUGGCUGGGGCCAAACCUGCUUCCUCUCCUUGUACCACAGGUCUUAAAUUAUCCACUCAUGUUGGUGAGCCACUCACAGCUUCUCAAAUUACAGAAUAUCGACAAACUGUGGGAGCUCUUCAAUAUUGCACCUUGACUAGACCUGAUAUAGCAUUUUCUGUCAACCAACUAUGUCAACAUAUGCACUGUCCUAAUUCUGUUCAUUGGACAGCAGCAAAACGUGUCUUACGUUACUUAAAAGGCACCAUUGAUCUGGGAUUAUGGUACACUAAGGGCGAGCAAACUCUUCAAGCCUUUUGUGAUUCAGAUUGGGCUGGUAAUCCCGAUGAUCGAAGAUCAACUACUGGGUAUGGCGUUUUCUUUGGCUCUUGCUUAAUCUCAUGGACUGCCAAGAAACAAUCUGUGGUAGCUCGUUCUAGCACUGAAGCCGAAUAUAGGGCAUUAGCUAUUACUACUGCUGAGCUGUAUUGGAUUCGUAUGCUCCUCAAAGAACUUCAUAUUUCUUUGCCCACAGCUCCUACUAUUUGGUGUGAUAACAGUGGCGCUCUUGCUCUUGCUUCUAAUCCUGUGUUUCAUGCCCGCACCAAACAUAUUGAAGUUGAUUUUCACUUCAUCCGCGAGAAAGUUGCUAAUCGAGAUAUUUCCCUUCAGUUCAUCGGUUCUUAUGAUCAGCCUGCUGAUAUCUUUACAAAGGGACUAAGUUUAGCUCGGUUUUGUUUGCUUCGUGACAAGCUAAUGGUGGUUUCUCUCCCCAUUAGCUUGAGGGGGGAUGAUAACCACAACAUUCAAACCACCGAGAUUUCCUUGGCUUCUCACUUAUCUUAUCCACCAGAUAAGUGUUUAUCCACUUUAAGAGAUAACUCUUGACUAUUUUUAAAUUUCUGUUAUUGUGUAUUUCAAAUCUCCUUCUGUAAUUGUAUAUAAAUGAGAAUAGCCACCCGGUUUUUGGCAUUGAAGCCAAUACCAUUUUACAGAUUUCUACAGAGUCUUACAAUCUAGUCCGCCUACAGAAAAGGACUCCAAGCCUGGGAGUGCAACCUGUGCAAUUGAUGAUCCCUUUAGUUAAUAAUAUAUACAUAUACAUUCCUAAUAAUUAGACACAUGUAAAUAGAAAAUAAGAGGUUAAAGGAGAAUAUAUCAGUAUAACAAAGCACAAAAUUUAAACUAGAUUCAAGAAGAUCAAGAAAGAGAAAAUAAAAGAAAAAGCCUCCAGAUUUUGAAGAUACAAUGAAACUUAAAAAAAAAAAAAAAAAACCUCCAGAUUUUCCUUUCGAAAUGAGGUAAUAAGAGGAUUUUCUUUUUCUUUUUUCUUUGCCUCUUUUUCAAAUUUGAUUAACUUCUAUGGAAAACGUAUUUUAACUAGUUAUGGAAAACGGAUUUUUUUAAAAAAACUUUUAUAUAAGAUACAAGUAAUACUUUAAAAAAGUUGUGAUAUCUAAAAAAUUUUUGUAAAAAUUAUUUUUAAAGAAAUAAGGUAAAUCUAUACUUUUUGUAUAAGAUGUUCUACCUUUAUAUACAAAUUUUUGAUUUUUUUUUUUUAAGUGUAUCCAAAUGGACACUAAACUAUCUAGUUUUUAAUUGUUACAACUUUGAAUUGGAUUUUAUGGUAAACUAAUUUACAAGUUAAUGCAUGGAUUCAUCUUAGAUUCCAUCUAUAAAUUUUUUUAAUUAUCUAAUAUAAGACAUUAUAUUAAUGGGUUGAAUUAAUAAUGAAAUUAUAAUUUAUUUGGCAACUUUCUUCCUUCAAAUAUAUAAAAUGAAAAUAAAUUUUAAAAAAUAAAAAAAAUGAAAAAAAUAAAAAAUAAAAAAAGAUUUUUUUUAUAGUUUUUCUAAGAUGAUUUUGUAGAGUACUGUUAGUUUAUAGUUUUAACUUUAUUUCAUUUUACUUUUAACUUUAUUUAUUGAGGUAUGUUCUUUUUUGAAACUCUUGUUUAGAUUUUAUAGAGAAUAUAAAUUUUAAGAAAAAAAAUGAAAUUUAAAUAAAAUAAGAAUAAAGAAAGGCAAAAGGUGGAUGAAUUUUUUUAAGGCAAAAGUUUGAUAAUUUGGCACUAUCAUGUAAUGGGUGAAAUUUUUAAAUACUCAACAAAGGCUAGUGAAAUUUAAAUUAAAAGCUUGACAUGUACCUUUUCGACCAAAAUCUUUGGAGUUGGUGUAAAGUUUUGAGUAUGAGAGAGGUUAGUCUAGGGAAUAUUAUUGCACAUUAGUUCAAAUAAAACAUCAACAUCUUUUUUUGUUAAAUUCUAAAUGAACACCACUAUAAAUUAAUGCGAUUUUGUAUGCUCAAUUAAAUAAACUCGUUCUUAAGGCAUCACAUGAAGUGUUUAAGUCUAAUUAAUAUUAAUUAAAAAUGAUUAUAUUAAAAAAAAUCAAAAGUAAUUUUUUUUUAUCAUAAGUCAAGUAGGAUAGUUUUAUAAAUAAUUGGUUCUAGUUUCUAGUAUUAUUGUAGACAAUCGCUAUGUUUGUUGCACCUCCAAAAAAUCUACUACUUGUAAUUAAUUGUAUAUUAUUCUCCAUAUUCACAUCAGUUUAUGUAGUAUGAUUAAUUUAGCAACAAAAUAUAAGUUUACUUGAAAUCGCUUUAAAUUCCUAUGAUAUUAAAGUUUAAGAUUAAAACAAUGUAACAUUAGCCAAAAAGAUUAAGAUCUAUAAUGUAACAUAUAAAAUUUAGAAAAUUCAAGGAAGGGUAAACUCGCACCUGUUCUACCCAGAAGAGUGGCUCAAGUUCACAUUCAGAAUUUAUUUCUUGAAAGAGUAUCUCCACUUUAUCACAAUCGAGCACUUUCAAUUCUUUCAGAAGUGGCCAGCUUGAACUAAACCUUUUUGAGCAAAAUCUUUUGAGUUGGUGUAAACCGGAGAGUGUGAGAGAGGUAAGGUUAGGGAAUAAGAGUAAAGGUGCUGCUUCAUCUUCAUUUUCAUUGGCAACAAUUGCCUCCACUCCACUCUUCGAUAUAUAUAGGUCCUCAAGUUGCACAAGGGCACUCGCCACAGAAACCAGAAAAAGGUUUAGCAAUUUGUUGCAUCCCCUUACUUGCAAUUUCCUUAAUUUGGAAAAUGAAUUUGCUGGAAGUUGGUCAGACCACAAUGCUCUUAUAUUAUCUAGUCCGCGUACAGACAAGGACUCCAAGCCUUGGAGUGCAACCUGUGCAAUUGAUGAUCCCUUUAGUUAAUAAUAAAUACAUAUACAUUCCUAAUAAUUAGACACAUGUAAAUAGAAAAUAAGAGGUUAAAGGAGAAUAUAUCAGUAUAACAAAGCACAAAAUUUAAACUAGAUUAAAGAAGAUCAAGAAAGAGAAAAGAAAAGAAAAAGCCUCCAGAUUUUGAAGAUACAAUGAAACUUAAAAAAAAAAAAAAAAAACCUCCAAAUUUUCCUUUCGAAAUGAGGUAAUAAGAGGAUUUUUUUUUUCUUUUUUCUUUGCCUCUCUUUCAAAUUUGAUUAACUUCUAUGGAAAACGUAUUUUAACUAGUUAUGGAAAACGGAUAUUUUUUUUUUAAACUUUUAUAUAAGAUACAAGUAAUACUUUAAAAAAAAUUGUGAUAUCUAAAAAAUUUUUUGAAAAAUUAUUUUUAAAGAAAUAAGGUAAAUCUAUACUUUUUGUAUAAGAUGUUCUACCUUUAUAUACAAAUUUCUGAUUUUUUUUUUUUUAAAUGUAUCCAAAUGGACACUAAACUAUCUAGUUUUUAAUUGUUACAACUUUGAAUUGGAUUUUAUGGUAAACUAAUUUACAAGUUAACGCAUGGAUUCAUCUUAGAUUCCAUCUAUAAAUUUUUUUAAUUAUCUAAUAUAAGACAUUAUAUUAAUGGGUUGAAUUAAUAAUGUAAUUAUAAUUUAUUUGGCAACUUUCUUCCUUCAAAUAUAUAAAAUGAAAAUAAAUUUUAAAAAAUAAAAAAAAUGAAAAAAAUAAAAAAUAAAAAAAGAUUUUUUUUAUAGUUUUACUAAGAUGAUUUUGUAGAGUACUGUUAGUUUAUAGUUUUAACUUUAUUUCAUUUUACUUUUAACUUUAUUUAUUGAGGUAUGUUCUUUUUAAAAACUCUUGUUUAGAUUUUAUAGAGAAUAUAAAUUUUAAGAAAAAAAAUGAAAUUUAAAUAAAAUAAGAAUAAAGAAAGGCAAAAGGUGGAUGAAUUUUUUUAAGGCAAAAGUUUGAUAACUUGGCACUAUCAUGUAAUGGGUGAAAUUUUUAAAUACUCAACAAAGGCUAGUGAAAUUUAAAUUAAAAGCUUUACAUGUACCUUUUCGACCAAAUUCUUUGGAGUUGGUGUAAAGUUUUGAGUAUGAGAGAGGUUAGUCUAGGGAAUAUUAUUGCACAUUAGUUCAAAUAAAACAUCAACAUCUUUUUUUGUUAAAUUCUAAAUGAACACCACUAUAAAUUAAUGCGAUUUUGUAUGCUCAAUUAAAUAAACUCGUUCUUAAGGCAUCACAUGAAGUGUUUAAGUCUAAUUAAUAUUAAUUAAAAAUGAUUAUAUUAAAAAAAAUCAAAAGUAAUUUUUUUUUAUCAUAAGUCAAGUAGGAUAGUUUUAUAAAUAAUUGGUUCUAGUUUCUAGUAUUAUUGUACACAAUCGCUAUGUUUGUUGCACCUCCAAAAAAUCUACUACUUGUAAUUAAUUGUAUAUUAUUCUCCAUAUUCACAUCAGUUUAUGUAGUAUGAUUAAUUUAGCAACAAAAUAUAAGUUUACUUGAAAUCGCUUUAAAUUCCUAUGAUAUUAAAGUUUAAGAUUAAAACAAUGUAACAUUAGCCAAAAAGAUUAAGAUCUAUAAUGUAACAUAUAAAAUUUAGAAAAUUCCAGGAAGGGUAAACUCGCACCUGUUCUACCCAGAAGAGUGGCUCAAGUUCACAUUCANNNNNNNNNNNNNNNNNNNNNNNNNNNNNNNNNNNNNNNNNNNNNNNNNNNNNNNNNNNNNNNNNNNNNNNNNNNNNNNNNNNNNNNNNNNNNNNNNNNNNNNNNNNNNNNNNNNNNNNNNNNNNNNNNNNNNNNNNNNNNNNNNNNNNNNNNNNNNNNNNNNNNNNNNNNNNNNNNNNNNNNNNNNNNNNNNNNNNNNNNNNNNNNNNNNNNNNNNNNNNNNNNNNNNNNNNNNNNNNNNNNNNNNNNNNNNNNNNNNNNNNNNNNNNNNNNNNNNNNNNNNNNNNNNNNNNNNNNNNNNNNNNNNNNNNNNNNNNNNNNNNNNNNNNNNNNNNNNNNNNNNNNNNNNNNNNNNNNNNNNNNNNNNNNNNNNNNNNNNNNNNNNNNNNNNNNNNNNNNNNNNNNNNNNNNNNNNNNNNNNNNNNNNNNNNNNNNNNNNNNNNNNNNNNNNNNNNNNNNNNNNNNNNNNNNNNNNNNNNNNNNNNNNNNNNNNNNNNNNNNNNNNNNNNNNNNNNNNNNNNNNNNNNNNNNNNNNNNNNNNNNNNNNNNNNNNNNNNNNNNNNNNNNNNNNNNNNNNNNNNNNNNNNNNNNNNNNNNNNNNNNNNNNNNNNNNNNNNNNNNNNNNNNNNNNNNNNNNNNNNNNNNNNNNNNNNNNNNNNNNNNNNNNNNNNNNAGAGAGGUAAGGUUAGGGAAUAAGAGUAAAGGUGCUGCUUCAUCUUCAUUUUCAUUGUGAACAAUUGCCUCCACUCCACUCUGCGAUAUAUUUAGGUCCUCAAGUUGCACAAGAGCACUCGCCACAGAAACCGGAAAAUGGUUUAGCAAUUUCUUGCAUCCCAUUACUUGCAAUUUCCUUAAUUUGGAAAAUG